rnacentral:lncRNA from 1 species
CAACGAGGAUGUGGACAGCCCAAAGAACGUCCUUCCUCCCUUCACUCUUCCUCUUCCACCCAGUGUCAUGGAGGGCUUUUCUUCCUUCCCUCUAUGCUUAUCCAAGCCCAAGAGCUCCAUCACCUGGUGAUUGCUGCAAAAUACUAGAAAGCUCAAUUUGCUUUGUUUUCUUUUCCGCUACUUUAUGGAUCAAAAUCUUGCCUAUGUAAAAUCCAGUUAGGGAUAGAAUUGUUGUAACCAAUUGCAUUCUGCCCAGCGAUUCAACCGAGCUAUGCCAUGAAUCGUAUGAACUCAAGAUCUUUGCUGUACAUGUCAUCAGUAAUCCCAGAUUUUUCUUUGCGUUUCUGGGUGACAGUAUUUGCUGGGUUGAGCUCCGAGUCUAUGUUGUUAUACGGUGGUAAUCUACUGAUUCAGCAAUGGAAAGUGUAAUGAUAUAGUUUCGUUACAAGUGUUUGUAAUUAGACAGAAAUUAGUGAAUUCUCUGAAGUUCGACCCCUCAGAACCAAAACAUACUACUCCUAAAGCAAUUGCUAGCAAGAUGAUAGAUACGGCAAAAUACAAAAUCAAGUGAUUAAUGUACAUGACGCACACACAGCUACAUAAUUGAAUCCUGUUAAUCCAAUGUAUAUCCCUCAGAAUGCCUGAUAUCCACAAAUCAUGAACUCACUGGUUCCUCGACCUCAGCCUUCGCUGAGGGAGCACCAAUCAUUCACAACUCUACUGCAAGUUCAGAUUACUAAACUCGUCGUCACAGGGACAUCCGAAACAGGAUUCUUUAUAUGUCUUUACAGCUACAAAUUAACAGAAAAUAAACGGAGAAAGUUUACCUAAAGAUAACAAGAAAUUCUAAGUAAAAUCACAUAAAUAAUGGCUAAGGCAUUAUUUUAAGGACAAGUGGUAACCUCCACGCUAGUCCUUAACAACAGACGUAAGGAGUGCACAAGCAACAGUGGUCUGCCAUUUUAUCGAACACAAAGACGACACGGUGUGGGUUGUUUUAGAUGCUAGAAAACCAUACCUCGAGUAAAAGCUUGAUGCUGCCAAGGGAGCACUCCCACUUGCCGCGACUUGGCUACACUUACCUAAGCACCCACUCGAGUGCUUCGGUGGUGACCAAGACGAAAUAGCUCCCUCGCUUCAUGUUGGAGCAAGAGAGGACGCGCGCAGUGCGUACCCAGCAACGUAGAAAGACGGGGAGGAACAUGGGCGGGUGAGCGAGCAACGAAGGGUCUGGGGGAGGAGCAGGAGAGAGCGGCUAUGGAGUCCAGGAAUGAGGGUUUGUCAUCGACCGUUCUGGUUUAGGGUUUGGGUUUUUGUGUCCAUCGACCGAGAGAGUUGGGCCGGGCCGGACCGGUAUGGUUCAAGUUAUGA